CAGUAGCCACGGGAAUACAGAGGGUGCGAGCGUUAAUCGGAUUUACUGGGCGUAAAGCGUGCGUAGGCGGCUUUUUAAGUCGGAUGUGAAAUCCCUGAGCUUAACUUAGGAAUUGCAUUUGAUACUGGGAAGCUAGAGUAUGGGAGAGGAUGGUAGAAUUCCAGGUGUAGCGGUGAAAUGCGUAGAGAUCUGGAGGAAUACCGAUGGCGAAGGCAGCCAUCUGGCCUAAUACUGACGCUGAGGUACGAAAGCAUGGGGAGCAAACAGGAUUAGAGACCCCUGUAGUCCCUGUCUCUUAUAA
rnacentral:rRNA from 1 species